rnacentral:lncRNA from 1 species
UGAGUUAAACAGCCCAGCUUUAGUAAUUUAGAGUUCAUCAGGUUUGUCCUUCUGUGUCCUUAGUGUCAAUGGUCUUCAUGUUUUUUCUUUAUAGACUUCACUUACGAGUACAUCAUGACGAUAAAAGAUAUGAGUGUGACGAAUGCGGGAAGACGUUCAUUCGCCACGAUCACCUUACAAAGCACAAGAAAAUACAUUCAGAUUGAUGUUCAGGAAGUGCUAAGAGAGCCAGCUAAUGAGCACAAUAAUGGGAAAGAGCCAUCUCUGUGAGCACAGUAGAACAGGUGAUUAUUAUUAUUAUUAUAAAUGUAAUUUAAAGUAUGCAACAGAUAUAACAUUUACUUAAAAUGAUCCCGAUGAGGCAGGUUGCGGAUGUUAUUACCACUUUUAAGAGAUGCUAAAGAGAUGUCUGAUGACUUUUUUUGCUGGAAUUAUGCAUUUCCAUUUUCAGGAGGAGAGUUCUAAAUUCCUAAUUCUAGAGGUCACAUGGUCUAAUCACACACAAGUCUUAAGUUGAGACAGUGGUUUUUAAAGGCCAGGCCUUUGUAAUGGAAAUAGAAGAAGAGAGAUGACAAACCGCACUCGUCUAGAAUUUUCCUUUGUAUUUUGGCUCAUUGCAAAUAUAAGAAAUCCCCACCAUUGAAAAAUCUUUUAAAAGUAAAGUACAAAGAUCUGAAAAUGUUCAGGUCCUUUUUGUAAACAGUACGACAGCCUCAUCCUGAUUGAGUGUUCAUUCGAAGUGUUUGGUAUCCAGACUUACAUAUUCCUAAAAACAAUCCCAAGAUUUGAAGUCCUUUCACUUCUCUUACUCUGUUACACUCAAAGUCAGGAUUUAAAGUCUACAGCAGAAGGCUGCUGACUGCUUCUCCAAGUGGGGAAGAGGAUUCACAUCCAUGGAAAUAAGUACAGAUUCAUUGAAGACACGUAUUUGAGUAGGAAUAUAAGGGCCAGGUAAAGGGUGGCUUUACUUUCUACCAUCGUAUUUUACUGUUGGAUAAUUUGUUUUUAGGGGUUAAAAAAACCCAAAAAGGAGUUCCCGUC